GGUGAACGCUGGCGGCGUGCCUAAUACAUGCAAGUCGAGCGCCCCUUUCAUAGAUCUCAAUUAGUUUGAGGCCUGUGAUGGGGAGCGGCGGACGGGUGAGUAACGCGUUGGAAUCUGCCCCAAACUGAGGGAUAAGCACCGGAAACGGUGUCUAAUACCGCAUAUGGACUUCGGUUUAAAGCUUCGGCGGUUUGGGAGGAUCCUGCGUCCUAUUAGCUUGUUGGUAAGGUAAAAGCUUACCAAGGCGAUGAUGGGUAGCUGGUCUGAGAGGAUGAUCAGCCACACUGGAACUGAGACACGGUCCAGACUUCUACGGAAGGCAGCAGUAGGGAAUUUUCCACAAUGGGGGCAACCCUGAUGGAGCAACGCCGCGUGCAGGAUGAAGGCCUUAGGGUUGUAAACUGCUUUUAUUUGUGAUGAUUUUGACAGUAGCAAAUGAAUAAGGAUCGGCUAACUCCGUGCCAGCAGCCGCCGUAACAC
rnacentral:rRNA from 1 species